CUGCUCCGGGGAGAUGAAGUGGAUGUGGGAGUCCACGGCGCCGGCGGUGACGAUCUUGCCCUCGCCGGCGAUCACCUCGGUGCUCACGCCGAUGACAAUGUCCACGUCGUCCUGGAUGUCCGGGUUACCGGCCGCGCCGAUCUUGAUAAUGCGCCCGUCCUUGAUGGCGAUGUCCGCCACGUAAAUGCCGGUGUGGUCGAUGAUCAGCGGGCCCGUGAUCACCACGUCGGGCACCUCGGAGUUGCCGGCCCAGCUGGAGUUCUGGCCCAUGCCGUCGCG
rnacentral:sRNA from 1 species